rnacentral:rRNA from 1 species
GAGUGGCGUGCCUAAUACAUGCAAGUCGAGCGGACAGAUGGGAGCUUGCUCCCUGAUGUUAGCGGCGGACGGGUGAGUAACACGUGGGUAACCUGCCUGUAAGACUGGGAUAACUCCGGGAAACCGGGGCUAAUACCGGAUGCUUGUUUGAACCGCAUGGUUCAAACAUAAAAGGUGGCUUCGGCUACCACUUACAGAUGGACCCGCGGCGCAUUAGCUAGUUGGUGAGGUAAUGGCUCACCAAGGCAACGAUGCGUAGCCGACCUGAGAGGGUGAUCGGCCACACUGGGACUGAGACACGGCCCAGACUCCUACGGGAGGCAGCAGUAGGGAAUCUUCCGCAAUGGACGAAAGUCUGACGGAGCAACGCCGCGUGAGUGAUGAAGGUUUUCGGAUCGUAAAGCUCUGUUGUUAGGGAAGAACAAGUACCGUUCGAAUAGGGCGGUACCUUGACGGUACCUAACCAGAAAGCCACGGCUAACUACGUGCCAGCAGCCGCGGUAAUACGUAGGUGGCAAGCGUUGUCCGGAAUUAUUGGGCGUAAAGGGCUCGCAGGCGGUUCCUUAAGUCUGAUGUGAAAGCCCCCGGCUCAACCGGGGAGGGUCAUUGGAAACUGGGGAACUUGAGUGCAGAAGAGGAGAGUGGAAUUCCACGUGUAGCGGUGAAAUGCGUAGAGAUGUGGAGGAACACCAGUGGCGAAGGCGACUCUCUGGUCUGUAACUGACGCUGAGGAGCGAAAGCGUGGGGAGCGAACAGGAUUAGAUACCCUGGUAGUCCACGCCGUAAACGAUGAGUGCUAAGUGUUAGGGGGUUUCCGCCCCUUAGUGCUGCAGCUAACGCAUUAAGCACUCCGCCUGGGGAGUACGGUCGCAAGACUGAAACUCAAAGGAAUUGACGGGGGCCCGCACAAGCGGUGGAGCAUGUGGUUUAAUUCGAAGCAACGCGAAGAACCUUACCAGGUCUUGACAUCCUCUGACAAUCCUAGAGAUAGGACGUCCCCUUCGGGGGCAGAGUGACAGGUGGUGCAUGGUUGUCGUCAGCUCGUGUCGUGAGAUGUUGGGUUAAGUCCCGCAACGAGCGCAACCCUUGAUCUUAGUUGCCAGCAUUCAGUUGGGCACUCUAAGGUGACUGCCGGUGACAAACCGGAGGAAGGUGGGGGUGACUUCAAAUCAUCAUUGCCCUUAUGACCUGGGGUACACA